GUCUCAUAUCACUUUACCCAUUAAAACAGAAAUAAUACAGAGACAACGCUCUUCAAUUUUCUCUCAGUCGCUUGUAAUCUCUCAGAAGAAGUCCCAGAGAUAAGAUCAUUGAGAAGCAAAACUGUGUGUGGAAAUAUGCAUGUCAAUUAGCGCGAGAAAAGAAAAAAUAGUGACACCUCGGUGAUAUUGUCAUCCGAGGUCUUGCACAGAGGUUUAGCGACACCUCAAACUAUUCCCUUCUUGAGAUAGAAACCUAGUUGCUGCUGCAAUUUCGUCCAGCAAUGGCUUCAGAGAAGAAAUUGAGCAACCCCAUGAGGGACAUCAAGGUUCAGAAGCUUGUCCUCAAUUGUCUCUCUAUUAUCUUUGUUUAAAUAGGUAAAGUGAUAUGAGAGAAUAGGUAUUAGGGCUGGGUCGGAUUUUAUUAAAUAGGUCGAAUCUUAUUAAAUAGGUCGAAUCAUUAUUAUUUCCCCUAACAUCACUAUUAUGUAUUUAUUUAAAUUACUUUUAUUUAAACAAAAGAAUAUUUGCAUAAA